GUUCUGUGUAACAAACCAUCUGGUGCGUCAGAUUAGCUGUAAAUGUUUCCCAUGCAUAAUAAAACCUACGGUGAUAUCCCCAUUAAUAUUCGGUUAAAUAUUACUAUUGAAUCAUAAUAUUAAACAUUACAUUACUGGAACAUAUAAUUAUUCUUCCGGUGUGCACAUUAUGUUUUUGCACCAUUCCUAUCAAAUUAGUUUCUGUUGUAAAACUCCUGCAACCUUGUUUUGAAAGGAGAUGUUUAUAAUAAUUGUUGUCACCAAAUCCCUUUAAUUAUAAGGGUCAUACCCUGCACAUAUCACUGUUUCCUCUAAUAUUCCUGAGUGACAGAUAGAAAGAAAAAAACAUGAAACAGGCAAAGUAAGAAUUACUUUUUCCAGGUCAGCGUAUUCAGUGUAAUGUCAGCUAAAGAGACACUAGAGGGCAGCAUUGGACUGUCAACUAAACUGAAUGCUGGUUUAUAAAGGUAAAUAAAGAGAUGCAGCAGUGGCCCUUUAAACAUGAAGUUAAGGUGAUGUUUUUUGUUUUUGUCAUAUUAAUCUUUUGUGACUUAAAUGCACACAGUGAAUGCUUUAUGUGUUACUUGUAAAGUAGUGUGGAUAGUCUGCUGUGUUAUAUUGUAUAUUAUUUUAUUUUCUCCUGCUGACAGAGUACAGCCUUUUCACGGCAGACAUUUUGACUUGUCAAAGCCGGAAAACCACAAGUGUAAACAACAACAUUAACAGUGGCUCCAUUAUUGUCCCGUGGUUCAAGUCAACCAUCUGGGUCCUCCUUCAGCCACUUGACAAGUCCUUACAUUCGAUGUCAGAGGUUGCCUGCCGCUGUCUUUUUCAACCACCACCACUUGGAGUCACUAAAAUCCAAAGAAGUUUUCAAAUCCUACACUUUGGGGCUUUGAGGGGAAUACAUAUAAUACAAGUUUUCUGGAUUUAAUAUGAGCAUACUGUAAUCUAAAUAUGUGAAUAAAACUGCAGGCCGGUGUAGACAGACAGUUAAACAGAAAAGGGAAGGUGAUCUUUCUAGUGAAGCCUCAUGGAAACAACUUCAGGUCAUCUGAGUAAUAAACUUUACACCUGCUCA